UGGUGGUUUCCCUACGGAUGGGAGUGACUAAGGUGACCUGCCGGGGCCAUUUUCAUUUCACUUCAGCUGAAUUGCUUCCUUGAUUAAGUUAUUUCUGCGUGUAUUUCCUUCGGCCGGUAAGACAGGUUGCGUCGUUCGGUCCUAGAACACGCUUGUCACGUGUGUCCUUUUAAAGGUUGCGGUGGGCAGGCAGGCACCGUGAAGCUGACGGUGGUCGUUAACGGGACCUCGAUGGCAAGCAGGAAGGAGAUUUUUCUCUUCUUCUUGGAAGCUCGUCUGCCCCUAACACCACUAACGGAAGAGAGAUGUGCGGCUAUUCGGGUACCGUAGGACACUGUCCUUCACAGCGUUCUGGACUAAGGGAUGGAUCGCAGCUGCCCGUCAGCAGCUGACGGUGAGCCUAUCAGUGGCAGUGCACGGUGGACGUCGUUGGGGUGGAGGUAGGCGAGGCUGUGGGCCUAGAGCACGGCACAGGACCGUCUGACAUUCACAGAUCUCGGUGGGCGGUCAAGAGAGGAUGGGGGCCGUCACAAUGGCGUAGAUCUGAGAGGGCUGCAGGAGUCCAGGUCGGGACGACGGUGUCGCCGUGGUGGCCCCACGGCAGUUGUUCAUGUGGACCUAGACCGCAGCACAGGUCUUCUCAUCUGCAGGUACCUAGGUUCAUGUCCAGAGAUCGUGGUGAACCCUGACAGUGGUUGUUGACAGGAGACGUUAUAGGUAUCCAGGUAAGUGAUGGUGUGCACCUCCCCCACAUCACAGAUCAUCCAGGCUUCACAUACUUAGGGAAGGGAAGUUUGUUUGCCUAAUCUUGUUUACCAGGUGAUUUUUUUAUAGGUCUUCAGGUAAGAAAUGAGUGUUUUACCAAUUCCAGAAGCCAUGUUACCCUACUGUUUUAUAUUUUAGAAAAAAGUCAUGUUUAACCAUGUGAUUGUUGAGUGAUUUGCAGAUAUCCAUGUAAUUGUCAUGAAGCUGUGAGUCACAGUAGUAACCAUGGUUUUCUUGAAGGUGAGCAUUCAAGUGAUGAUAGCGUCUCUAACCAUGGUGUAGACCUUGGAGUACUGCAAGAUUCUGGGUAGAUUGGAUGAGUCCUGCGGUGAUGGUAAUGAAUAAGGUUAUUUUCGGGGUCCAGGUAAUAAAGAUGUGUCCAUAGACACAUUUGUUACAAUGUAUUUUGCAAGUUACUGUUAAGACAUCAUGCUAAACCUCAUAAAGUUCAUUAAAGUGAUUUUGUUUGUAUCCAGAUAAGUGCUGAUGUGGGCUUUUGACAUGCCACCCACCCUCUGAUCUUUAGAUAUCUAGCUAAGUGAUGAUGGUGUUCUAACAUUUGUGUUGCCGUCUUUUCUUGCAGGUAUUCAGGUAAGAAAUGAUAUUGUCCCAGGCAAUGCUAGUAAGCAUUAGCCCAUAUUAUUUUAGAAUUUAAAUAUAAUGUUUGUAUAACCUUAGUAGUAACUGAGGGAUUAUGUAGAUGUCCACAUAAAUUAUCAUUUUGUCCAUCACCUCCUUAUUGACCAUGGCUUUUUUGUAAUUAUUUCAAGACGGGAUUGUAUCUCUAACUAGGGUGUUGGCCUUGAGCUUCUGCAAGUUUCAAGGUAGAGUUGAUGGACCCCGUAAAUUUGAUGAGAUUUUGCCAGGUUUUCAGAUGUCUACCCAAAAGGAGAUGAUGUCUCAAUCCAAGUUCUUGACGCUGGAUUUUUGCAAGUAUCUGGGUAGAUUUUAUGCUUCCCUUUAAGUUUGUAGUGCUUACAGGAUUUUCAGGUAUCCAGGUUGUAGAUUUGUUCUUAAAUGCUGUUGUCUCUUUGGUUUUUGUAGCUUCCAGUUAAGGGAUUUUUGAGAACCUUUGUAUGGUAUCAAAGGUUAAUUUUGCUUGCAUCCAAUUAAAAGAUGAUGAUGUUUGUACCAAAGUUGGAGCUCAUGAGAUUUUGCAGAUAUCCACAUAAGCAAUGAUAGUGUUUGUAAGCCAACAUGGAGAUCAUGUUUAUUUGCAAGUAUUCUUGUACGUUGUGUUGACUAACCACCUUAGUGAUCAGGGGAAUUUUGCAGAUAUGUUGUCACACUUGUGAAGAUGUCUCUAACUAAGGUGUUUUCUUUGGAUAUUUGUAGAUAUCCAGGUAAAAGUUGAUGGUGUCUCUAAUCAAGCUAAUGACCAUGGGAUUUUGCAGUUAUCCAGGCAAGAGAUGCUGUGCCCCUACCGUGAUACUGACCCUGGGCAAUUCUAAGUGUUCAGGUAAGAGAUGGUAUUUGUCUGAUUGCAUUAGUGACCAUGGAGGUCUUUGCUGAUAUGCAGGCAGAAGAUGAUUGUGCCUGUAUCUACAGUACUGACCUUUGAAUUUUGCAUGUAUCCAGGUAAGAGCUAAUCUCUCCCUUACUGUGCUAGUGGCCUUGGGAUAAUUUGGUUGUCCAGGUAAGGAGUGAUGUGUCCUUAACCAUGUUAGUUACCAUGGGAUUUUGCAGGUAUCCAGAUAGGAGAUGAUGGUGGCCCUAACCAUGGUAUUGACCAGGGGAUUCUGCAGGUAUCUAGGUAAGAAGUCUUGCAUCUACAACUAUGUGUUUUGUCCUCAGAUUUUUUAGGUAGUCUUGGAAGAGAUGAUGGUGUUCUUAACAAUAAUGACCAUAGGAUUUUGCAGAAACCCACUCAAAAGAUGACAUCUCUAUCAACAUUGGUGUCCAUGGGAAUGAACGAAAAAUGGAAUACAUUUUUUGGCUAGCUGUAUAUUUUGUUAAAAGAAUUUUAACAUUCAAUGACUAUUAAAUAUUAUUCACAAUCCUAUUUCCUUAUAUCCAUUUCUUUAUUUGUUCAAUUUCUCCAUAAUGACAUUUGCACCAGGAAUCUUAGGCCCACAUUUAUGAAAUAUUUUAAUAUCUAGGAGCCAUCAGUACAGACAUCCUUCAUGUAAAAUUGGCAAUUCCUAAAGAAAAUUAGGCUAUAGAUCCUUAUAUAGUUUUUUUUUUUCUGCUUUAUUUCCCCAAACCUCCC